rnacentral:rRNA from 1 species
CCUACGGGAGGCAGCAGUGGGGGAUAUUGCACAAUGGGGGGAACCCUGAUGCAGCGACGCCGCGUGGGUGAAGGAGUGCUUCGGCAUUGAAAACUCUAUUGGCAGGGAACAAGGAUGACGGUACCUGACUAAGAAGCCCCGGCUAACUACGUGCCAGCAGCCGCGGUAAUACGUAGGGGGCGAGCGUUAUCCGGAUUCACUGGGUGUAAAGGGAGCGUAGACGGCCAUGUAAGCCAGGAGUGAAAGACUAGGGCCCAACCCCGGGAAGGCUCUUGGAACUGCAUGGCUGGAGUGCGGGAGGGGCAGGCGGAAUUCCUGGUGUAGCGGUGAAAUGCGUAGAUAUCAGGAGGAACACCGGCGGCGAAGGCGGCCUGCUGGACCGCGACUGACGUUGAGGCUCGAAAGCGUGGGGAGCGAACAGGAUUAGAUACCCCAGUAGUC